rnacentral:rRNA from 1 species
GCACGGAGUUAGCCGGGGCUUCUUCUACGGGUACCGUCAAACCUUGCGGUUUUCUUCCCCGUCGAAAGGGUUUUACGUCCCAAGAGACUUCAUCACCCACGCGGCGUUGCUUCGUCAGGGUUGCCCCCAUUGCGAAAAAUUCCCCACUGCUGCCUCCCGUAGGAGUCUGGACCGUGUCUCAGUUCCAGUGUGUCCGACCGUCCUCUCAGACCGGAUACUGAUCGUAGCCUUGGUGAGCCGUUACCUCACCAACUAGCUAAUCAGCCGCGGGCUCCUCCAAGAGCGAAUUGCUCCUUUCAUCACAACAUCCGAAGACAUCGUGAUCGUAUGCGGUAUUAGCACCGGUUUCCCGGUGUUAUUCCCCACUCUAGGGCAGAUUACCCACGUGUUACUCACCCGUGCGCCGCUUUACUCAGGGCCGAAGCCCCUUUCUCGCUCGACUUGCAUGUGUUAGGCGCGCCGCCAGCGUUGAUU